CUCAGCGGUUAAGAACACUGACUGCUCUUCCAGAGGUCCUGAGUUCAAUUCCCAGCAAUCACAUGGUGACUCACAAACCAUCUUUAAUGGGCAUCCAAUGCCGUCUUCUGGGGUGUCUGAAGACAGUGACAGUAUAUCCACAUACAUGAAAUAAAUAAACCUUU